rnacentral:rRNA from 1 species
GGAAUAUUGGUCAAUGGACGGAAGUCUGAACCAGCCAUGCCGCGUGGAGGAAGAAGGUCCUAUGGGUUGUAAACUCCUUUUGUUCGAGAGUAAUAAGAGGCUUGCGAGCCUCGAUGAGAGUAUCGGACGAAUAAGCAUCGGCUAACUCCGUGCCAGCAGCCGCGGUAAUACGGAGGAUGCAAGCGUUAUCCGGAUUUAUUGGGUUUAAAGGGUGCGCAGGCGGGCUGUUAAGUCAGCGGUGAAAUGUCCCGGCUCAACCGGGGCACUGCCGUUGAUACUGGCAGCCUAGAGUACAGACGGCGCCGGCGGAAUGUGUCAUGUAGCGGUGAAAUGCUUAGAUAUGCCACAGAACACCGAUCGCGAAGGCAGCUGGCGAGGCUGGGACUGACGCUCAGGCACGAAAGCGUGGGGAUCAAACA